UACGUAGGCAGCAAGCGUUGCUCGGAAUCACUGGGCGUAAAGGGUGCGUAGGCGGGUCUUUAAGUCAGGGGUGAAAUCCUGGAGCUCAACUCCAGAACUGCCUUUGAUACUGAAGAUCUUGAGUUCGGGAGAGGUGAGUGGAACUGCGAGUGUAGAGGUGAAAUUCGUAGAUAUUCGCAAGAACACCAGUGGCGAAGGCGGCUCACUGGCCCGAUACUGACGCUGAUGCGCGAAAGCUAGGGGAGCAAACAGG
rnacentral:rRNA from 1 species